UAUGCCAUAAUAAAAAAGAAUUGCAUUCACUUUAAGGAUUGUGUCUAGCGUUUGGAUUAUACACAAGAUCAUUUUACAGCUCUAAUAACAUUACUUCUUGCAGACACAAUUGCUGCACACAUAAGAGGCCUGGUUUCCCAUAGCGAUCAUUUGAUGUUUCUUUUUGUUUUACCGUGCAUCUUUGAAAAUAGUCUUGGCACACAUCUCUGUGUUUUUCCUCUAGUUCGAUCUGGGUGCCUGGGCCUGCUGUGCCAAGUUGUGAUGCCCACACAAAGCAUGCUGCCUGCGCUAAUGCCCAUGGAGCCAGCCACAUAUUACCAUGUGUCCAUUAUGGGCAGAACUACCAGGUUGGCAGACAUAGCAACUGGAAGGGGCCCACUGGAUUCAGAGGUUAAACUACAAUGGCUGUAAAUGAGAGGAUUCAUCUCAAUUAUAGGCGGAGUGUCACUGGAUGACACACGGUGUAUUAUGAGUAAUUAAAAUGAAGCAGAAAAAGGGCACUGUAACAAUAUGGUGAGGAACAGCAAGUAUCUCGAAAAGAAUCGACAGAUGGCCUCAUGAUGAAUCCUUGAUAAUACUGUCAUGUAAGCCUGCUAAGACUAGAAAUCAUUUUAAACAAUAAUUCACAGUAAAAAAACUGGAAAAUUUAGGUGAAAUAAACAGACAAAUAUCAGCAAGGCCAUGAGCGUAUGAGAUUCCUCCUGUAAAUAAACAGAAAAAAGCUU